rnacentral:rasiRNA from 1 species
CAAGCUUUAAAAUUAAACAUUAUCAGU